rnacentral:rRNA from 1 species
UACGUAGGGUGCAAGCGUUGUCCGGAAUUAUUGGGCGUAAAGAGCUCGUAGGCGGUUCGUCGCGUCGGCUGUGAAAACCCGGAGCUCAACUCCGGGCCUGCAGUCGAUACGGGCGGACUCGAGUUCGGCAGGGGGAGACUGGAAUUCCUGGUGUAGCGGUGAAAUGCGUAGAGAUCCGGAAGAACACCGGUGGCGAAGGCGGUCUGCUGGGCAGUUGCUGGACACUGAGGCGCGACAGCGUGGGGAGCAAACAGGG